GAUGAACGCUGGCGGCGUGCCUAAUACAUGCAAGUCGAACGCGCAGCGAAAGGUGCUUGCACCUUUCAAGCGAGUGGCGAACGGGUGAGUAACACGUGGAUAACCUGCCUCAAGGCUGGGGAUAACAUUUGGAAACAGAUGCUAAUACCGAAUAAAACUUAGUAUCGCAUGAUACAAAGUUAAAAGGCGCUACGGCGUCACCUAGAGAUGGAUCCGCGGUGCAGUAGUUAGUUGGUGGGGUAAAGGCUUACCAAGACGAUGAUGCAUAGGCGAGUUGAGAGACUGAUCGGCCACAUUGGGACUGAGACACGGCCCAAACUCCUACGGGAGGCUGCAGUAGGGAAUCUUCCACAAUGGGCGCAAGCCUGAUGGAGCAACGCCGCGUGUGUGAUGAAGGCUUUCGGGUCGUAAAGCACUGUUGUAUGGGAAGAAAUGCUAAAAUAGGGAAUGAUUUUAGUUUGACGGUACCAUACCAGAAAGGGACGGCUAAAUACGUGCCAGCCGCCGCGGUAA
rnacentral:rRNA from 1 species